UAGGGAAUCUUCCGCAAUGGACGAAAGUCUGACGGAGCAACGCCGCGUGAGUGAAGAAGGAUUUCGGUUCGUAAAACUCUGUUGUUAGGGAAGAAAAAAUGUAUAGUAACUAUAUACAAAAGAGACGGUACCUAACCAGAAAGCCACGGCUAACUACGUGCCAGCAGCCGCGGUAAUACGUAGGUGGCAAGCGUUGUCCGGAAUUAUUGGGCGUAAAGCGCGCGCAGGUGGUUUAGAAAGUCUGAUGUGAAAGCCCACGGCUCAACCGUGGAGGGUCAUUGGAAACUAAUAAACUUGAGUGCAGGAGAGAAAAGUGGAAUUCCUAGUGUAGCGGUGAAAUGCGUAGAUAUUAAAAAGAAUACCGGUGGCGAAGGCGACUUGCUGGGCACAAUCUGACGCUGAGGAACGAAAGCGUGGGGAGCAAACAGG
rnacentral:rRNA from 1 species